AAGAAAUGAUCAUAAAUGUUCUUCCUUGAGCUGCGGCACCCCGCUGUAGUCCGUAAUGGACUGGCCUGAGGUCUCUCUACAAAUAAGCGUCUGCUGGAAGAGAGUAGGUGAGUUGUGUUUAGUCUCUUUGCUAAAGAAAUGAGUCAAAGUUAAAAAGAUGUUUGGUGUCUAGUACUAUGUCUGUGACCCUACAUGUCCUGUUGAUGAAGUUAGGUGCUGUUCUGAGCAUUAUUUGUGGCUAUAGAGUGGCGUUUUGGUUGAGGGCGUGGCUCUCUGUAUUACUAUCCUGCGGUCGUUACUAAAGUUGGUAUAACUAGAGAAGCAAGCGGUCGACAACAUUCAUCUCUG